rnacentral:rRNA from 1 species
UACAGAGGGUGCGAGCGUUAAUCGGAGUUACUGGGCGUAAAGGGCGCGUAGGCGGUUAUAUAAGUGAGAUGUGAAAUCCCUGGGCUUAACCUAGGAACUGCAUCUCAUACUGUAUGACUGGAGUAUUGUAGAGGGUAGUGGAAUUUCCGGUGUAGCGGUGAAAUGCGAAGAGAUCGGAAGGAACACCAGUGGCGAAGGCGGCUACCUGGACAAAUACUGACGCUGAGGCGCGAGAGCGUGGGGAGCAAACAGG